rnacentral:rRNA from 1 species
GUGGGGGAUAUUGCACAAUGGGGGAAACCCUGAUGCAGCAACGCCGCGUGAGGGAAGAAGGUUUUCGGAUUGUAAACCUCUGUCCUUGGUGAAGAUAAUGACGGUAGCCAAGGAGGAAGCUCCGGCUAACUACGUGCCAGCAGCCGCGGUAAUACGUAGGGAGCGAGCGUUGUCCGGAAUUACUGGGUGUAAAGGGUGCGUAGGCGGCUACGCAAGUCAGGUGUGAAAUAUAUGGGCUCAACCCAUAGACUGCACUUGAAACUGCGUAGCUUGAGUGAAGUAGAGGUAGGCGGAAUUCCCGGUGUAGCGGUGAAAUGCGUAGAGAUCGGGAGGAACACCAGUGGCGAAGGCGGCCUACUGGGCUUUAACUGACGCUGAGGCACGAAAGCGUGGGUAGCAAACAGGAUUAGAAACCCCGGUAGUCC